UAAAAUGAGAGUUUGAUCCUGGCUCAGGACGAACGCUGGCGGCGUGCCUAAUACAUGCAAGUCGAACGAAACUUUCUUACACCGAAUGCUUGCAUUCACCGUAAGAAGUUGAGUGGCGGACGGGUGAGUAACACGUGGGUAACCUGCCUAAAAGAAGGGGAUAACACUUGGAAACAGGUGCUAAUACCGUAUAUCUCUAAGGAUCGCAUGAUCCUUAGAUGAAAGAUGGUUCUGCUAUCGCUUUUAGAUGGACCCGCGGCGUAUUAACUAGUUGGUGGGGUAACGGCCUACCAAGGUGAUGAUACGUAGCCGAACUGAGAGGUUGAUCGGCCACAUUGGGACUGAGACACGGCCCAAACUCCUACGGGAGGCAGCAGUAGGGAAUCUUCCACAAUGGACGCAAGUCUGAUGGAGCAACGCCGCGUGAGUGAAGAAGGUCUUCGGAUCGUAAAACUCUGUUGUUAGAGAAGAACACGAGUGAGAGUAACUGUUCAUUCGAUGACGGUAUCUAACCAGCAAGUCACGGCUAACUACGUGCCAGCAGCCGCGGUAAUACGUAGGUGGCAAGCGUUGUCCGGAUUUAUUGGGCGUAAAGGGAACGCAGGCGGUCUUUUAAGUCUGAUGUGAAAGCCUUCGGCUUAACCGGAGUAGUGCAUUGGAAACUGGAAGACUUGAGUGCAGAAGAGGAGAGUGGAACUCCAUGUGUAGCGGUGAAAUGCGUAGAUAUAUGGAAGAACACCAGUGGCGAAAGCGGCUCUCUGGUCUGUAACUGACGCUGAGGUUCGAAAGCGUGGGUAGCAAACAGGAUUAGAUACCCUGGUAGUCCACGCCGUAAACGAUGAAUGCUAGGUGUUGGAGGGUUUCCGCCCUUCAGUGCCGCAGCUAACGCAAUAAGCAUUCCGCCUGGGGAGUACGACCGCAAGGUUGAAACUCAAAGGAAUUGACGGGGGCCCGCACAAGCGGUGGAGCAUGUGGUUUAAUUCGAAGCAACGCGAAGAACCUUACCAGGUCUUGACAUCCUUUGACCACCUAAGAGAUUAGGUUUUCCCUUUGGGGACAAAGUGACAGGUGGUGCAUGGCUGUCGUCAGCUCGUGUCGUGAGAUGUUGGGUUAAGUCCCGCAACGAGCGCAACCCUUGUUGUCAGUUGCCAGCAUUAAGUUGGGCACUCUGGCGAGACUGCCGGUGACAAACCGGAGGAAGGUGGGGACGACGUCAAGUCAUCAUGCCCCUUAUGACCUGGGCUACACACGUGCUACAAUGGACGGUACAACGAGUCGCGAGACCGCGAGGUUUAGCUAAUCUCUUAAAGCCGUUCUCAGUUCGGAUUGUAGGCUGCAACUCGCCUACAUGAAGUCGGAAUCGCUAGUAAUCGCGAAUCAGCAUGUCGCGGUGAAUACGUUCCCGGGCCUUGUACACACCGCCCGUCACACCAUGAGAGUUUGUAACACCCAAAGCCGGUGGGGUAACCGCAAGGAGCCAGCCGUCUAAGGUGGGACAGAUGAUUGGGGUGAAGUCGUAACAAGGUAGCCGUAGGAGAACCUGCGGCUGGAUCACCUCCUUUCUAAGGAA
rnacentral:rRNA from 2 species